rnacentral:tRNA from 1 species
GCCUCGAUAGCUCAGCCUGGCUAGAGCGAGUCCCUUGUAAGGACUAGGCCGAGGGUUCAAAUCCCUCUCGGGGCU